rnacentral:ncRNA from 1 species
UAUCAAUCAAUUUUUCAUCUAAUAAACCUUUACCAGUAAGAUGGAUCACUUGGUAAGAUUUUAAUAAUGCAUCUAAAUUUUGACGAAUCAUAUCAUUUAAUUUUUUACUACCUAGACUUCCACCCAUAACUAAUAAUAUUUUUUUAUUAUCAUUAAAUUUGGUUAAUUGGUAGCC